rnacentral:rRNA from 1 species
AACGAACGCUGGCGGCAGGCUUAACACAUGCAAGUCGAGCGCACCUUCGGGUGAGCGGCGGACGGGUUAGUAACGCGUGGGAACGUGCCUUUCUCUACGGAAUAGCCUCGGGAAACUGAGAGUAAUACCGUAUACGCCCUUCGGGGAAAGAUUUAUCGGAGAGAGAUCGGCCCGCGUUAGAUUAGGUAGUUGGUGGGGUAAUGGCCUACCAAGCCUACGAUCUAUAGCUGGUUUGAGAGGAUGAUCAGCAACACUGGGACUGAGACACGGCCCAGACUCCUACGGGAGGCAGCAGUGGGGAAUCUUGGACAAUGGGCGCAAGCCUGAUCCAGCCAUGCCGCGUGAGUGACGAAGGCCCUAGGGUCGUAAAGCUCUUUCGCCAGGGAUGAUAAUGACAGUACCUGGUAAAGAAACCCCGGCUAACUCCGUGCCAG